CGUGUUAACGCGCGUGGCGUGGGACGAUCGAUGAUGCUCGUGCCUUGUGAGAGUGUUCAUUUGUGUUCGUAUUUCUCGCGAGUUUCUUUCUUUCGUUUCGAGACCUGUUUAUAUCAACAGCAGAGACAAGUUUUGGGGGAGAGCGUGACGGGACGAAAGGUAUGGCAGCCGUAAAAGUCGUCUCCGCCAGCCGGUCGUCGCGAUGAAAACAACGAGAGAAGAAGAAGAAGAAAAAAAGGGGACAUAAUUAAUAAGCCGCUCCGUCGAAAACGAACGAGAAUAAAGUUGAAGUCUCGCGAGUCCAAAACAAUUAAUCGUGAAAGGUGUACGUACGAUUUCUUAAAGAAGAAAAACAAAAAGGAGGAUCCUUGUUGCGCGACUGGGGUAAGGCGAGCUACGCUUCUAAUCGAUCCGAUCGAUCGAUCGAUCGAUCGAUCUUGGAGCAAGGCUUUUACGGCCCCUUGAGUAUAGACCGCUUUCUCAUGCGGCUAAUGUAAUUAAAGGAAAACUCUAUCUCUCGACCUCUUUCUUUUCUCCUUUUCCCCGGCUCGGCCACGUCGCGAUUAUACGAAUCCUCCUCCAUCGAUAAAACGUAAAAGGAGUAACGCUCGAAGUGCGCACUCGACAACGUUUGCUCCGCGACCAUCGAGCGGAUAAAACGCUUUAACGAGUGCGUCGAGUGCCUCGCGAGCCUCUCUCUCUCUCUCCUUUCCUCCCUUCCUCCCUCUCCGUUUCUUUCCUCCCUUGAAAAGCGUGGAUCAUUAAUUAGCUCCGCCGAAUGAAAAAAAAAAAGAAAAAAAGAAAAAAAGAAAAACAGGCUCUCGCCUAUUCGAGGCAACGACUGGCAACGAAGGCUGGCAAUAAUAAAACGGGGCAAUUAGCCACUUUUAAUAACAUCGUUUCAGGGGACGACUUAUUUGUACUUUCCUCCUUUUCGAGACCAGAUAUAGACGCGAUGAUCGCGAUGAGUUUCUUCCUCUCCUCCGUUUUCCACGAUAUAUACCGGCACGAGUCGUUCGGUAUUCGCGGUGGUAAUUGACGCGGUAAUUGGCCUAAUUUUAAACGGCGCGGCGAGCGCGUGGUUUAAAAGGGCACGGGUGAAAUUCGAGAAUAGAGCGCGACUUGGUUGGAAUUGUUACAUACCCGUUUCAGUAAUUAAUUGAAGGGAAUUGAUGCACUCUGUCCGAGGUGGAUAAAGGUGGAGUGGCGGGCAGGCAGGCGAAAUUAACCGGGGAACGAGGCAAAUUCGUUUAAUCGAGGCAGCUUAAUUCACGCAAGCUUUCAAUUGGGGGACUAGGAAACGGUUACGGUAGUUUCGUUUCGUAGAAAUUUUGUCCGACAUUGGUUCCUUCUCGAAUUAUAAGAUAAUAUUUCGGGAAAAGUAUAAUUAAAAGAAUAUUAAAAAGAAUUUCCAUCUUGGAAAUUUGUAUUGUUCUUCCAGUUUAUACUCGGCUUUCGAUAACUCGGCGAUUCACAAAAGGUAACACGUUCGUAUUCUCCUCGUUUUCUUUUCACCGACGACGACAAUUCGCUCGUUAAUUAACGAGCGAACCGUCUGUCGGCGUGGUGGCCUCCUUUUUUGGCCACGGACACGAGCGCGGCCGUCAUAUUUCGUCGCGGCCGGUGCUCGAAACUUGGCGGGGUCUUAAGGCGUAGUAGAGGAAGAGGUGCAUACGCCGUAUAGGCGCGUAUGCACCGCGAACAAUGCAUAUUCAUGAACCGGCGUGCAUAUUUACGAGCGGCUGCUCGCCCAGAGAUCCAUGGCACAACUUUACAACGCUUUCGGUCUUGGAUAUCCCCUCGUACAAAGGAAGCCGUGCUCUGCCCCGAUACCGUCGUCGCGAGCUGUACAGCGUUUUCGAAUCGAGAGUUUAUCGUGAGGGAAUAGAACAGAUUUUCGUGAAAAUUAGAGAAAAAGAAGGAAACAUUUGUCGCGUGAUUUUAUCCUGAAGUUCCGUUAAAAACGUAUUAUAAAAUUACUCCGAAUAUAGUAACUUCCGGUCAACGAGUGAAACAUCGUUAGAAGCGCGAAUCUUUAGCUUUUUCAUUUAUUCAAUUCGGACUUUCGGUUCCCGAGAUAUCCAGAUGUAAUUUUUAAUCGUUUAUCUUAAAACGCGAUUAAAUCGUAUUAAAAUUAGGAAAACUUUGAACCGCUAUAACUCCGAAUAUAGUAACUUCCGGUCAACGAGCGAAACAUCGUUAGAAGCGCGAAUCUUUAGCUUUUCAAACGCCUUUUCAUUUAUUCAAUUCGGACUUUCGGUUCCCGAGAUAUCGAGGUGUAAAGAAAAAGAUAAUUUUUAAUCGUUUAUCUUAAAACGCGAUUAAAUCG